AGAUUAUCUGUGCUAAGGUAGCAUAAUAACUUGCUCUUUAAUUAAGAGAUAGAAUGAACGGUUAAACAUUUUAAAAUAAGUCUCUUAAGAAAAAAUUAAUCUUAGAAUAAAGUUAAAACUCUUUAAUAAUAAAGCAAGACGAUAAGACCCUGAUAAACUAUUUUUUUAGUUGGGGAAACAUUUUAAAAAAAAUUUAAUAUAAUCAAUACAAAACUAUAAAAUAAAAUAAAGAAAAGUUACUACAGGGAUAACAGCGCUAUCUCCCUUUAAAGAUCUCAUUAAAAGGGAGGCUUACGACCUCGAUGUUGAAUUAGGUAACCUAAAAUAAGCAAAAAUAUUUAAAGGAGGUCUGUUCGACCAUUAAACACCUAC
rnacentral:rRNA from 1 species